AGGGGUGUGGCUCAAAUGAUAGAGCACUUGCCUGGCUAGCACAGGCCCUGAGUUCAAACCUCAGUACCACCA
rnacentral:tRNA from 1 species